rnacentral:rRNA from 1 species
GAGCAGCCGAGCAGAGGUAGUAAUCACAGAAGAAUCUGCUGCCCCUGCGUGCUUGUUUGGAGCUUGGUGCCUGGAGGCGAGGCUAGGAAGAAGAUGACGAGGCGGUUCUUGCCUCUUUGCGCGCUCCUCAUCGUGCUGCUCUGCAUGGCGGCGAGCCUCGCGGAGGGGAGGCGCAGCGGGGGGCGCCCCAUCAUCGGCGGCGGCAGCGGCGGGGCCAGAGGGAGAGGGUCAGGCAGCCCGCGCGGCCUCAGCGGCGGCACCUGGGCGGCGUGCGUCGGCUCCUCGCUGCUGGUCGCGGUGGCCAUGCUCUUCUAG